rnacentral:rRNA from 1 species
UACGUAGGGUCCAAGCGUUGUCCGGAUUUAUUGGGCGUAAAGAGCUCGUAGGCGGCUUAGUAAGUCGGAUGUGAAAACUCGGGGCUCAACCCCGAGACGCCAUCCGAUACUGCUGUGGCUUGAGUCUGGUAGGGGAACACGGAAUUCCUGGUGUAGCGGUGAAAUGCGCAGAUAUCCGGAGGAACACCGGUGGCGAAGGCGGCUUCCUGGACCGACACUGACGCUGAGGCGCGAAAGCUAGGGGAGCAAACGGG